rnacentral:rRNA from 1 species
AUUGAACGCUGGCGGCAGGCCUAACACAUGCAAGUCGAGCGCGCGGCGGACGGGUGAGUAAUGUAUGGGGACUGCCCGAUAGAGGGGGAUAACUACUGUAAACGGUAGCUAAUACCGCAUACUAUCGGAUAACCCAUAUGGGAUUUGCUCGUAGGUGAGGUAAUGGCUCACCUAGGCGACGAUCCCUAGCUGGUCUGAGAGGAUGAUAAGCCACACUGGGACUGAGACACGGUCCAGACUCCUACGGAGGCAGCAGUGGGGAAUAUUGCACAAUGGGCGCAAGCCUGAUGCAGCCAUGCCGCGUGUAUGAAGAAGGCCUUAGGGUUGUAAAGUACUUUCAGUGGGGAGGCGUUACCGACAGAAGAAGCACCGGCUAACUCCGUGCCAGCAGCCGCGGUAAUUC